rnacentral:misc_RNA from 1 species
GAUGAAGAACGUAGCGAAAUGCGAUAAGUAGUGUGAAUUGCAGAAUUCAGUGAAUCAUCGAAUCUUUGAACGCACAUUGCGCCCUUUGGUAUUCCUUAGGGCAUGCCUGUUCGAGCGUCUUUUAAACCCUUCAAGCUCAGCUUGGUGUUGGGUGACUGUCCGCCGCCCCCGGGCGCGGACUCGCCCCAAAUUCAUUGGCGGCCGGUACGUAGGCUUCGAGCGCAGCAGAAACGCGAACUCGGGCCCGCGGUGUCGGCUCCCAGAAGCCAUCUCUUUUAUUUUGACCUCGGAUCAGGUAGGGAUACCCGCUGAACUUAAGCAUAUCAAUAAGCGGAGGA